UGAGGAAUAUUGGUCAAUGGGCGAAAGCCUGAACCAGCCAAGUCGCGUGCAGGAUGACGGCCCUAUGGGUUGUAAACUGCUUUUAUAUGGGAAUAAAGUGAGGGACGUGUCCCUUAUUGCAUGUACCAUAUGAAUAAGGACCGGCUAAUUCCGUGCCAGCAGCCGCGGUAAUACGGAAGGUCCAGGCGUUAUCCGGAUUUAUUGGGUUUAAAGGGAGCGUAGGCUGUUUGUUAAGCGUGUUGUGAAAUGUAAGGGCUCAACUUUUAGAUUGCAGCGCGAACUGGCAGACUUGAGUGCGCACAACGUAGGCGGAAUUCAUGGUGUAGCGGUGAAAUGCUUAGAUAUCAUGACGAACUCCGAUUGUGAAGGCAGCUUACGGGAGCGCAACUGACGCUAAAGCUCGAAGGUGCGGGUAUCGAACAGG
rnacentral:rRNA from 1 species